rnacentral:rRNA from 1 species
UACCUAGGGUGCGAGCGUUGUCCGGAAUUACUGGGCGUAAAGAGCUCGUAGGUGGUUUGUCGCGUUGUCCGUGAAAACUCACAACUCAAUUGUGGGCGUGCGGGCGAUACGGGCAGACUGGAGUACUGCAGGGGAGACUGGAAUUCCUGGUGUAGCGGUGGAAUGCGCAGAUAUCAGGAGGAACACCGGUGGCGAAGGCGGGUCUCUGGGCAGUAACUGACGCUGAGGAGCGAAAGCGUGGGGAGCGAACAGG